rnacentral:rRNA from 1 species
UACGGGGGGGAGCAAGCGUUGUUCGGAUUUACUGGGCGUAAAGGGCGCGUAGGCGGCGUGACAAGUCACUUGUGAAAUCUCCGGGCUUAACUCGGAACGGUCAAGUGAUACUGUCGUGCUAGAGUACAGAAGGGGCAACUGGAAUUCUCGGUGUAGCGGUGAAAUGCGUAGAUAUCGGGAGGAACACCAGUGGCGAAGGCGACUUCCUGGCCUGUUCUUGACGCUGAGGCGCGAAAGCUAGGGUAGCAAACGGGG